UACGUAGGGGGCAAGCGUUGUCCGGAUUUAUUGGGCGUAAAGCGCACGUAGGCGGUCUGUUAAGUCGGAUGUGAAAGCCCUGGGCUCAACCCAGGAAGUGCAUUCGAAACUGGCGGGCUUGAAUAUGGAAGAGGGUCGCGGAAUUCCCGGUGUAGAGGUGAAAUUCGUAGAUAUCGGGAGGAACACCAGUGGCGAAGGCGGCGACCUGGGCCAAUAUUGACGCUGAGGUGCGAAAGCGUGGGGAGCAAACAGG
rnacentral:rRNA from 1 species